ACCUGAAAUUACUUGUCUGGUCUCUGAGCCAGUGAAGAAGCAACCCUGUCACAUAUCUGCCCUCUAAACUUGAAAGAGUGCUGGAACCCAAACUGUGUGGCAGCUCUGUAUUCAGAACAAUAUGAGAAAUAUUUCUUUGAGAAGAAACUUGGAAAGUAGAUUUGGAUGGAAAGAGCUGAAAUCUUUGUGAAUCCAACUGAAUCUGCUUCAGAAAAUGUUCAAGGAACUGAAGUGAAAAAAAAGAGCUCGAGAGGGCNAGGAAAAAACCGAGGUGGCAGAGGCUAUCCUAGAGGGAAGAUGCGAGGCAAAGCAAUGAAUGGUUUUGGGCCAAUAAGGGGAAGAAUGCAGCCAUAUCCAGAUGUAAGAGGUCAACAAGGAGCCCGAGGGGGGCUACUUUUCCCAUCUUCUCUGCCCAUGAGAGGAGUUAUGAGGAUGCCGCUUCUGCCUCCGCCACCUCGAUACGAGCUUCCUCCUCCACAUCUUCCUCCCCCACCACCUGAAUCAGUGGGUUUCAGGCCCAGACCUCCUCUCCCUAGACCCAGAGGGAUGCUGCCAUGGCCACGAGGCUACAUUCCACCUCCAAGAGGCUUUCCCAAUGGACCCGGUGCGCCAUGUCUCCCACCACCUGGACGGGGCCAGAGAUGGCCUGGGCCACCAGAUGUCAGAUAUUAUUGA
rnacentral:lncRNA from 1 species